CAAUACUUUGGUGGCGACCGGCGCACGGGUGCGUAACGCGUAUGCAACCUACCUUUAACAGGGGCAUAACACUGAGAAAUUGGUACUAAUUCCCCAUAACAUUCGAGAAGGCAUCUUCUUGGGUUAAAAACUCCGGUGGUUAAAGAUGGGCAUGCGUUGUAUUAGCUAGUUGGUGAGGUAACGGCUCACCAAGGCAACGAUACAUAGGGGGACUGAGAGGUUAACCCCCCACAUUGGUACUGAGACACGGACCAA
rnacentral:rRNA from 1 species